rnacentral:rRNA from 1 species
GACGAACGCUGGCGGCGUGCUUAACACAUGCAAGUCGAACGGAAAGGCCCUGCUUUUGUGGGGUGCUCGAGUGGCGAACGGGUGAGUAACACGUGAGUAACCUGCCCUUGACUUUGGGAUAACUUCAGGAAACUGGGGCUAAUACCGGAUAGGAGCUCCUGCUGCAUGGUGGGGGUUGGAAAGUUUCGGCGGUUGGGGAUGGACGCGCGGUUUAUUAGCUUGUUGGUAGGGUAGUGGCUUACCAAGGCGUGGAUGGGUAGCCGGGCUGAGAGGAUGAUCAGCCACACUGGGACUGAGACACGGCCCAGACUCGGACGGGAGGCAGGAGGGGGGAAUAUUGGAGAAUGGGCGAAAGCCUGAGCAAGCAAGGCCGCGGGAGUGAUGCAGGCCGUAGGGAAGCAAAGCUCUUUUACCCGGGAGGAUAAUGACAGUAACGGGAGAAUAAGCCCCGGCUAACUCCGUG